UCGAGGAUCAUUCGCAAUGGGCGAAAGCCUGACGGUGCGACGCCGCGUGUAGGAUGAAGGCCUCCGGGUCGUAAACUACUGUCAUGAGGGAGCAAAGAACAGGGCGUGAAUAGCGCCUUGAAGUGAUAGUACCUCAAGAGGAAGCCACGGCUAACUCUGUGCCAGCAGCCGCGGUAAUACAGAGGCGGCGAGCGUUGUUCGGAUUUACUGGGCGUAAAGGGUGCGUAGGCGGUAUCGCGUGUCGGAUGUGAAAUCUCACAGCUCAACCGUGGAAUGGCAUUCGAAACUGCGGUGCUGGAGUACAGGAGAGGAGAGCGGAAUUCUCGGUGUAGCGGUGAAAUGCGUAGAGAUCGGGAGGAACACCGGUGGCGAAGGCGGCUCUCUGGACUGAUACUGACGC
rnacentral:rRNA from 1 species